rnacentral:lncRNA from 1 species
GCCGUCGACCCCACGCCACGCAGAGGUGAAGAUACGCAGGACGUCCUCUAAAGCAACUUCCGUGGGUGCCAGGUUGUGGGCUGGGGGCGGUGCUGACCUUGAGAGAGCGGAGGAGGCGCAGGCGCAGCACAGGUACGUGGGCGGGCGGAUCGUGGUGGCUGCGCUUGCGAGGACCCUGAGGUAGAUUGGGUGGUUUCAACAGGAACGCAUCCACUGUCUGAGAGGUGGCAAUUGAAGCCGGAAGAACAUCUACCAAGAGCAGAGAACCCAGGAAGAAAAUUCUGCCUCUUUAAUACGUUCCAAUAUGGACGUUUUCCAUAUAGAUACCUAUCUAUAUAGAUAGAUGCUCUGGGAUCUGACGGUCCUGGACACCUGUAUGGCUGUGUGCUGUGGUCUUUGCCUAGCCUGCGGUUCACUUUUGCUCUGGCCACCACCUCCCCUCAUGUACAAACCGCGUCUCUGCUCUGCCAGUCUUGGCCCCCGUCAGGCAGCGGUUCACUCCCUCACCAGGGAAGUCUAGAUAGAUAGAUAUAGAUAGAUAUCGAUCGAUAGAUAUAGAUAUAUAUAUAGAUAGAUAGAUAGGUAGAUAUAUGGAUAGAUAUAGAUAUUUGGAUAGAUAUGUAGACGUCUAUCUAUAAAUAUAUCGAUAUAUCGGGGUUCUCAGCCAUCCCAAAGAAGCUUGCACAGGGCCAGUUGCUUUAUGUCAGGAAAAGGGACACAGACUGAGUGUAUGAGGGUUUUUUUUUUCUAUAGAUGUAUAGAUAUUUAUAUCAGAUGCAAAUAAGUGAAACUCUCAUACAACUUUUAAUUUUGUGUUUUUUCCAAACUCUAUUCCAUUCAACUUUUUCUGCCUUUUUAUUUGAUUAUAAUGAGACAUCGUACUGGAGGCAGGCUUGAAAUGGAUAUACAGAGCACUUUCAACCCAGAAAUUUGUCUCACGACUUGGGGUCCUUACUUAAGUUGUAGCUGUUAGUAAUUUCAUCCAUGAAUUCACUUUGUGCCAUAGUGUGAUGUUUUGUUAUGAAGUUGGAAUUGGGAAGGGAAACUAGGAAGUUUUGGGAGAAGUUAAGAAGGUUGAGUAGGCAGGCGUUGUUAUAGAUAUUAAAUUUCACCCUGCUUAUCAAAGUACCUGGAGCGUAUGGUAUCCAAGCUGUAAAUGGCCCAAAGGAAUCGGGGUUCUCAGCCAUCUUUUGUUUUUUUUUUUUAGUUUAAACUUGAUUUUGUGAGGGGACGAACAGCGUGACAAUUAAAAGAAGAUCUGGGAAUCGUAAGUACUGACAGAAUACCUGGAGGGAAGGUGGGACUGGAGAAUAGUUUGUGAAACAGAUCCUGCUGAGGAUGAAUCCAGAACUUCCUGAAGGGUUCCGCUUCUGCUGUGUAGGGACAAGGUUGUAAAUAGACAAGCCACAGGCACCUGCAAAUGGUAAGUGUGGUAGAGAGGGGCUGGAAUUGCCUGUUGGUGUAUCUGUGGGAAGCAGCUGCUAUCCUUGAGGAAGAAAAGAUGGAGAAGGUAAGUGGCUAUCAACCUGUCAGAGACAACACAUUCUGUGAAGUUGUACUCUUUCAUUUCUGACACUGUGGUUCUUAAUAUCUGUCCUAAACCUGGCAGUCAUUGAGGUUCGCAAAGUAUCUCCUUCUAUGUGACAGUAAAACUGGAAUUACUAUCAGAAUGGAAUCCAUUCCUGCUAGAGUAAAACCAUGAAAAGAAAUCGCAGUUUUGAUUAUCUGCUUAUCAUUUUUAAUAGAUCACAGAGUGCAGUGUUCCUUAUUUGUUGUAUGGCAAGUUGAUGAAUAACUCUUGAUUAAUAUCUUUUAAAACUCUGUUCAACUUUUCAGCCAUCACCUCAGGAAUCAGAAGAUACUCCAGAGGAAAAGCUAAUGUAAAUGCUGGAUUCAACAACUCUGUUUUUUCCUUCUGAAUAUUUCAUUGUCUCUAAUGCUGUCAGAUGUUUGUUUUAUAUUUUGUCCAAGCUGAGUGUGGUGGCUCACGUCUGUAAUUUCAGCACCUUGGGAGGCCAAGGCGGGACCAUCCCUUGAGGCCAGGAAUUUGAGACUAGCCUAGGCAACAUAACAAGACCUUUGUCUCUUGGAAAAAAAUAAAUAAAUAAAUAUUAUUAGAAGUGAAAAUAAAGCUUCCUGAGGCCUUCACCAGAAGCAGAUGCUGGUGCCGUGCUUCUACAGCCUGCAGAACUGAAGGACUUUACAGCUUCUCUUUCGCAUAUCCAAAUUGCCAGCAUCACCGCUCUUGCACUCCAAGCCAUUAUUAAGUAAAGUAAAGAACACAAACACUGUGAUACUGCUACACUUGAUCUGAUAACCAAGAAGUCUACUAAGUGACUAACAGGUAAUAUUUUUGGACAUGAGGUGACUGCAGUUAACUAAAACCAUGGAAAGCAAACCCAUAGAUAAAGGGAUACUAUGGAGAGCAACUGGGAACCUAAUUCUGACCAAAAAGGAGGAAUUGUUUGGCUAAUUGGAAGUGACAGAAACCUUGGGAGAAAGCAACCGCAUACCAAGGAUAAUUAUAAGAAGGUAACAUGGGCCCUAAAGGAUAGUGUCAAGAAACCUGAAACCCCCAAAUGAGGUGAGACUUGCAAAAAAUGCUAAGGAAGGACAAAAAACAGGCCUUUUAAAAUUCUGUUCAGAACCAGAAGAUGAUCAAGAAAGGGAAAUGCCCACUAGCAGCUUCUACUGUAAGGUUAGAGCUGACAGAGAAAGAACUCCUUAACUACUAUUUGCUUCAUUCUCUAGAGAAGACAUGGAGAAGAGGAGGGAGUAGUUGUGACCGUGGAGGCAGAGAAUGGAGUAAUGUGAUCAUAAAUCAAGGAAUGCUGACAGCCACUAAAGCUGGAGAAGGCCAAGGACAGAUAUUCAAUCCUCCCGUAGAAGUACAGCCCUGCUAAUGCAUUGAUUUUGGACUUCUGGCCUCAGAACUGUAAGAGAAUAAAUUUCUAUUGUUUUAAGCCUUCAGUUUAUAUAUCAGCUUUUUAUCAGUUGAAAUAAACCACCCUGGGCCGGGUGCAGUGGCUCACACCUGUAAUCCCAGCACUUUGGGAGGCCGAGGUCUGGAAAGCAUGGAAAUUUGUAUCUUCAUUCACUUUUGUUUUCAUGGACUCUUUUCAUGUUUGAACUUUUCAUGGUAUGAGCUGUUUUAUAAUCUAUAAUAUGGAAUGUUUCUCAUACGAAUGUUUUUCUUAUUGAAGAAUGCCAUAGAAAUAAGGGUGUGAGGUAUACUUACUUGACAGGAGAAUUUGGCGAUAGAGUGAGACUCUGUCUCAAAAAAGAAAAAAAAAAUUAGUGACUUGGGGCUGACAAUGGGAAGCAUAACAGCGACAAUGGCAGAUUUAGUUGUUUGAUAUUGUUUCUGUAAGACUUAACACAGCAUGUGUGAGAUAUUGUCCUGGCCCUCAGCUCUACUGCACUCUAAGGCACAUGUAGGCAUGCAGUGGUAGACAGUUCUGGUGCCAUGUGAUCGAAGAUUUAAAAUGCCAGGAUACAGAGAUUGCCCAUAAUUUGGUAAGCAGUGAAGAACAAAUGAAAAUUAUAGGGAAAAGAGGGGCUUAUGCUUAGGAAAAUAAAUUCUAAUGAAAGACUCCAAAUAAUUUAUCUAGUGUGAAAAACUGGUAACUAAAUGAAUUUGAAAUGAAGGCUUUGAAAGACAGCGUCUAACUCAGACAUGGACUAAUAAUCAUGUAAUCGAUAAAGGACCUCACAAAUGGGAUCCUAACAGGUUUAAAGACUUUCAUAAGAAGUUUCAAAAAUUACACUGUGAGUUGUUAGUUGACGAUGCAAUCAGCAUGCUGAUUAAGGUUGCUUGGUUUUUUACUAAACAUUAACUGAAUGAAAACGGGUAGUCCUUGUUCUGCUUGGGGGGCUUUAAGGAAGCAAAUGGACUUUCAGAACAGAGAUUGUCAAUAAAGGUCCAAUGUGAUAAUUUAUGUGAAAUCUUUCUGCAAACUAUACAGUAUGAUAAAAAUAUAAGGUAGUUUCACUGGAAACAACAGAAGACUAGAAGCUGAUGUGACGUGGCAAUAUCAACCAGGAGUGGGUGGACAUUUGGCAUCCAGGAUGUGGUUCCAAGCUUGAGCCAUGGGAUGGUUUUUAUCUAUCUUCAUCAGAAGGGAGUAUGCUAAAGAACACAUAUGAGAUUACUGUGUGUCUGACACACAGUAGGCCCUUAAUAUUAGUUUGCUGAAUGCACAAAGGGAGGGAACUUCACCAAACUGAAGAUCAUUUCUCAGGAGUAACUUUAAUAACAAGCUGAGGCACAAAAUCCCACUAAAGUUUACCAGCUACCUAUUUAGAAUGGCUGAAUUUUAACAGAUGUUGACUGACUCUCUUAGGAACUAUAUUUGCUUGAGGAAAUGACCAAAAACUUAAAAUCUGUUAUAACAUUGACCCCUUUAGGUGUUCAAGAACAUGACUGGAAAAAUACUUCAAUCCUCAGCCCACUUGGAUGAAGCCAAAGAAUCCACUGUCUAUCUUUUCUAUUCCAGCUGUACCUGUCAAAGAAUUCAUAAUCUGCGUGUCUUCUGCUCUGCAGUGUGUGAAGUAAAUACCCAUCUCGAGUUCUGGAUAUGUGCUCUGAGAAGGUGCCCAUGUCACCGACCACACUGGAGGCCAAUGCAGAUACUGGGGGAAGGUUCCAUGGUAGCUAAGUGUGGACAAGCUAAUCACUGAAGUUCCCUGAUGCAGAGUUGAUAAUCUCUCUAGAGUUGGAUGAAAGACUGUGCUGCCUUGAAGCUCUGAGAGAUGCCAUGCCAAUUCAAGGCAGGGUCUUUAUUGUUGAAACUCUUGCGUAAUGACAUCUUUAUUCAGGUGAAAAUACAGGAUGAAUUUCAACUAUAUGAUAUUGUUUAUGUUCCUCAGACAUGUUAUUUGUCUUUACAAAGAUUGGUUUCAAUAAACUGUGUGACUGAUAUUAAAUAAACAUGGAAUUUUACACAUUCAUAAUAUUUGGUUUCUUG